rnacentral:tRNA from 1 species
GCCGCUGUGGCGGAAUUAGGCAGACGCAGUGGACUUAAAAUCCACCGGUAGCAAUACUGUACCGGUUCAAAUCCGGUCAGCGGCA